UGGGGAAUAUUGCACAAUGGGCGCAAGCCUGAUGCAGCCAUGCCGCGUGUAUGAAGAAGGCCUUCGGGUUGUAAAGUACUUUCAGUCGGGAGGAAGGUGUCAAGGUUAAUAACCUUGGCAAUUGACGUUACCGACAGAAGAAGCACCGGCUAACUCCGUGCCAGCAGCCGCGGUAAUACGGAGGGUGCAAGCGUUAAUCGGAAUUACUGGGCGUAAAGCGCACGCAGGCGGUUGAUUGAGUCAGAUGUGAAAUCCCCGGGCUUAACCCGGGAAUUGCAUCUGAUACUGGUCAGCUAGAGUCUUGUAGAGGCGGGUAGAAUUCCAUGUGUAGCGGUGAAAUGCGUAGAGAUGUGGAGGAAUACCGGUGGCGAAGGCGGCCCCCUGGACAAAGACUGACGCUCAGGUGCGAAAGCGUGGGGAGCAAACAGG
rnacentral:rRNA from 1 species